GACGAACGCUGGCGGCGUGCUUAACACAUGCAAGUCGAACGGAAAGGCCCUGCUUUUGUGGGGUGCACGAGUGGCGAACGGGUGAGUAAAACGCGAGUAACAUGCCCUUGACUUUGGGAUAACUUUAGGAAACUGGGGCUCAUAUCGGAUAGGAGCUCCUGCUGCAUGGUGGGGGUUGGAAAGUUUCGGCGGUUGGGGAUGGACUCGCGGCUUAUCAGCUUGUUGGUGGGGUAGUGGCUUACCAAGGCUUUGACGGGUAGCCGGCCUGAGAGGGGGACCGGGCACAUGGGGACUGAGGUACGGCCCAGACUCCUACGGGAGGCAGCAGGGGGGAAUAUUGCACAAUGGGCGGGAGCCUGAUGCAGCAACGCCGCGUGCGGGAUGACGGGCUUCGGGUUGUAAACCGCUUUCUCCUGUGACGAGGCGUGAGUGACGGUAAUGGGUAAAAAAGCACCGGCUAACUACGUG
rnacentral:rRNA from 1 species